AGAGUUUGAUCAUGGCUCAGAUUGAACGCUGGCGGCAUGCUUUACACAUGCAAGUCGAACGGCAGCACGGACUUCGGUCUGGUGGCGAGUGGCGAACGGGUGAGUAAUACAUCGGAACGUGCCCAGUUGUGGGGGAUAACUACUCGAAAGAGUAGCUAAUACCGCAUGAGAACUGAGGUUGAAAGCAGGGGAUCGUAAGACCUUGCGCAACUGGAGCGGCCGAUGGCAGAUUAGGUAGUUGGUGGGAUAAAAGCUUACCAAGCCGACGAUCUGUAGCUGGUCUGAGAGGACGACCAGCCACACUGGGACUGAGACACGGCCCAGACUCCUACGGGAGGCAGCAGUGGGGAAUUUUGGACAAUGGGCGAAAGCCUGAUCCAGCAAUGCCGCGUGCAGGAUGAAGGCCUUCGGGUUGUAAACUGCUUUUGUACGGAACGAAAAGCUUCGGGUUAAUACCCUGAAGUCAUGACGGUACCGUAAGAAUAAGCACCGGCUAACUACGUGCCAGCAGCCGCGGUAAUACGUAGGGUGCAAGCGUUAAUCGGAAUUACUGGGCGUAAAGCGUGCGCAGGCGGUCUUGUAAGACAGAGG
rnacentral:rRNA from 1 species